rnacentral:rRNA from 1 species
CUAAUACAUGCAAGUCGAGCGGACCGACGGGAGCUUGCUCCCUUAGGUCAGCGGCGGACGGGUGAGUAACACGUGGGUAACCUGCCUGUAAGACUGGGAUAACUCCGGGAAACCGGGGCUAAUACCGGAUGCUUGAUUGAACCGCAUGGUUCAAUCAUAAAAGGUGGCUUUCAGCUACCACUUACAGAUGGACCCGCGGCGCAUUAGCUAGUUGGUGAGGUAACGGCUCACCAAGGCGACGAUGCGUAGCCGACCUGAGAGGGUGAUCGGCCACACUGGGACUGAGACACGGCCCAGACUCCUACGGGAGGCAGCAGUAGGGAAUCUUCCGCAAUGGACGAAAGUCUGACGGAGCAACGCCGCGUGAGUGAUGAAGGUUUUCGGAUCGUAAAACUCUGUUGUUAGGGAAGAACAAGUGCCGUUCGAAUAGGGCGGCACCUUGACGGUACCUAACCAGAAAGCCACGGCUAACUACGUGCCAGCAGCCGCGGUAAUACGUAGGUGGCAAGCGUUGUCCGGAAUUAUUGGGCGUAAAGCGCGCGCAGGCGGUUUCUUAAGUCUGAUGUGAAAGCCCCCGGCUCAACCGGGGAGGGUCAUUGGAAACUGGGGAACUUGAGUGCAGAAGAGGAGAGUGGAAUUCCACGUGUAGCGGUGAAAUGCGUAGAGAUGUGGAGGACACCAGUGGCGAAGG